GGAGCUAACACAAUAUGGGGAUGACAGUGUAUCCAGGACACACCAUGAUACAGCAUCUGGAAUACUUUGGUGGGCAGUACACCUACAGCACAGAGUAAAGUGACAGUACAGGAGCAUGCAAUCUGCUUCAAAUAUCUGCCAGUCUUCAAGUUCACGGUGUUGACAUCUCUCUGCAAGAUUGAGAGUUGCAGAACAACUGAAUAGCAGAAAGCCAAAGCCUGAAACUUAACAGCAUUUCAAACAAUUAACUGCCUCGUAAGACAUCCCCAAAGCUGACUGGAAGCAUGAACCUUCGCGAAACGCUGCUACUAAACAAUUACUUGGACACAAAAUCUGUAUGUUGGUCAAAGCAAGCAGCAACAUCUGUUUUACACAAAUUUCUUUGCAAAACAUCAGGAAAGAUCAUUAAAAUAAAUAAAAACAACCACACACAAACUGACAUAACAC